rnacentral:lncRNA from 1 species
GUAAAUGGCGGCGGAUCCGCACCCGCCUCACGUUCUGCGGGGGAUGCUCGGCCCGGGCUGUGGCGGGACCGGCGCUCAGAGCGCCGUGCGGAGAUCGGAUCGGGGCUGCUCCCGGCGCUGUGCGGCGUCCGACGGGCUCAGGCACGCAGGGAUGCUUCAGCCCGGACAGGUGCCACCGACAGCCCAAAGGGACCUCAGGGAACGGCUGGCAUCACCUGGGAAUGGAGGCACGGCCGUUUGCAGAGGGGCUCUGACAGCAAUCCCCGUUUCUGACCUCCCCGAGCUCCCACACAACUGCCAGAUACUAAAUGCCAAGCUAUAGCCUCGGAGAUGCCUUAAAAUUAGAGGUUCGAGUGUGAUGAUGUUUGGAGAUUUCCAGGGAGCCAGCUGGAGGUGCAGAAGUGAUGGAAAACUCUCACAGGAGGUCCAGGCUGAUAGCAGCAGUCAAGGCCCAGUGUGCCAGGCCGAUGGACUGGGUUUGCUGUACUUGUGAGUCCUCUGGAAGUAUUACAGGACCCUGUGAUGAAGCCUUCCGAUUUUGUAUUUCAAGGUCCCAUCCUGGUAGCCCAGAGGAAUGGCCGAGGAGUUGUGGUAUACCCUGAGAUGACGGUGUCGGCCUCCAAGCAGGCCUGAGGUGUGUGGCCUGAGCAUUCUGAGCAGAAUGACCAAGAGAGAACAGCCUGGGGACAACUGGAACUUCCCAGACAGGCAGGAGGCCUCCCCUGAUGGGGAUUUGCAUCCCCAGAUGUGUGCAAGAUAAGUCGCGGGCUACAACCCACAGAGGGGAUGGAAGAGAGGUGCCAGGUUGGGACUCCCCAGGAAGGGUUUUUGAGUCAGAUUUGGAGAUGGGGUUGUCCAAGAAGCAUCUCCUUAGGCCCUCUAAAGGGAAAGUGUCUGUUUUGAUCUCAGUGCUGAGGUGCGCAGGGCAGAGCAGUUCCGGUGUGUGUCCUGUCACUUGUCUCUGGUGCACUCUGUGUUGUUUGGGUCUUUCGGUCCUUUCUUCUCAUCAGAAGCUCACUCUCCCUCUCCUGUCCCCUCGUUUGUCACGUCCUGUCCUGUGUCACGGGUGUCCUGUCCUGUCUCCCGGAGCUGCACUGCUCUGCUGCAUAGCCUGUAAUAGCACAAGUCCUGUGGACUUGAAAUUUGUAAUGCAGGGUGUAUUUGAGCUCUAGAUUGUAUUAGGAGAUUGAUGUAAGAUGUCUGGUGCUGUUAAGUUGUCCUGCUGCCAUUUGACACUAGUCCUAACUUCCUUUCAGAUGCAGAAAGUUCAAAUCAGUGGCAGAGAGCCCCAGUCCUGGGUGAGGGUGUUGCCAUGAGCAGGAGGUCCAGGCAGAUAGCAGCAGUCAAGGCCCAGUGUGCCAGGGAAUCCCCUCGCAUUAUGCGUAGCCCCUGUUGCCAGCGGGCCGAUGGACUGGGUUUCCUGCGCCUGUGAUCCCUCUGGCAGUGUUUCAGGACUCUGUGAUGAAGCCUUGAAAUUUUGUAUUUCAAGAUGGUAUCCGAGUAGCCUUUGGUAAUUGCUGAGGAGUUGCAGUGAGACGCCAAGGUAGGGAGGGGGAGCCAAGGUCCACUUAGGUUUCAGCAUUGCUGUGUCACUUUGUCUCUUCUUCACCCAGGCAGACCCUGCGAUGACAGUGGCAGCCUCUGGGCGUGGCCAAAGUCUGUGGCCCGAGCAACCGGGCAUUCUUAGGAGAAUGCUGGGCAAGGGACCACAGCCUGGUGACCAUAGGACAUUCCCAGCAGAUGAGGCAGCCUCCAUUCGCACGCAACAUGGAUUCUCAUCCCCAUAUGUCUGAGAGAUAAGUCGAGGGCUAAGGCCCACAGAGGGGACGAAAGUGAGGUGGUGGGAGGGUCUUUUGAAUCAGCUCUGGGGGCGGGGAUGUGCAGGAAGUGUCCCUUUAGGCCACCUAAAGGGAAAAUGUUUCUUUUGAUCACAGUGCUGAGUUGUGCAGGGCAGAGCAGUUCUGGUGUGUGUCCUGUCACUUGUCUCUGGUGCACUCUGUGUUCUUUGGGUCUCUGAGUCCUUUCUUCUUGUCGAAAACUCUUGCUCCCUGUUCUGUCCUCUCGAUUGUCAUGUCCUGUCCUGUGUCACGGGUGUCUGCACAUAUUUGUCCCGGAGCUGCUGUGUCCUGCUGCAUAGCCUGUAAUAGCACAAGUCCUGGGGACUUGAAAUUUGUAAUGCAGGGUGUAGUUGGGCUUUAGCUUGUAUUCGUUGAUUGUCAUAGCAUUUUUGGUGCUGUUAAGUUGUCCUGCAGCCGUUUUACACUAGUCUGAAGUUCCUUUCAGAUGCAGACAGUUCAAAUCAGUUGCAGAGAGACCUAGUCCUGGGUGAGGGUGUUGCCAUGCGCAGGUCAGUCAUUGUUUGCAUUUGCAGGGGAAGCCUAAAUGGUGACUUUGUUACAGCAGUCUUUAUUCUUAGGAGGUCCAGGCAGAUAGCAGCAGUCAAGGCCCAUUGUCCAAGGGGAGCAGUGGACAGAAGCAGUUGUUUUUACUCAGCUUUCAGUUUCUGGUGCAAUUCUAAGCAUCCUUUCUCAUUUUUGUGCUUUAGGGAAUCUACUCGGAGUACUCAUACCUCCAUCACCAACUGGACAACGGACCGGUGCCAGGAGCGUGGCUUCUCGUUUUCCAGCCUUCCUUGCUGUGGCGGUUUUGAGGAACUUACUGGAUGGUUUUCUUUUGUUCAUAGUUGGUGUAGGAGAACGGCCAUGGUGUGCUUUUUGCUUCUUACGGUUCUUGGUUCAGGUGCUCAUGACAAGGGUUUUUUUUGGGUUGAGUCUUGUGGUUGGAUUUCUUUUUGAUGGGUUCUUAUGUUUUUGAAGGAUGUGUUUUUAAAGGUUUAUAAUGUUUUUUAUGGGUCAUAGCAUGAAGUAGAGGGUAGGUUUUUAAUUCGGUUGUGGAGGCUUUUAUUGGCGUGAGUAUGUAGUGGUUUAUUUUGGUUGGUUUGAGGUAGUGUCCUGUAGUUUAUUAUUGAGGUUUUUUUAAUAUUGAUAAUUGCAUUCUUGUUUAUUAUGUUGUAGGGGUUUUAUUUGUUUGUCUUGUUUGAUUGCUUUGUGUGUUUAAUGUCUCAGACAAUUUGGGAGUUAUUAUUUAUGGUUACUUUUCUCUUUUGGUGACAUGUUUAUUUCUAGGUGGUAUUUGUGUUUUGAUGGUUUAAGGCAUUCUGAGGUCCUUGAGUUAGGAAUUAUUAUUUUGUUGUUGUGAAUAUAUUUUUUUUGUAGUUGGAUAUAUUUGUUGUUUUUUAUUAGUUUGAUUUUUGGGAACAUGGGUAUUUCUAUGGUGGAUCUUUAUAGGCAGUUAUUUUAUUUGGGUGGUGAGUUUUUUGUUUCUUCAUGGUUUCGAUUUUUUUAUAUCUGUAAUUAUUUGGGGGGAGUUUAGUUAAUUUUAUAGAGUAUUGGGUUCUCUUGAUGAGUUAGUGUAGUGGUAGGGUAUUGUUUGGUUUUUUUUAAGAAACAUUUGGGAUCUGUUUUAUGGUUUGUAGUAUAAGAGGUUAGUUGAAGAGUUUUUUUCUUUUUAGUGUUUUUUUUGUUUUGUGUGGGUUUUUAUAGGUGUUUUUUUUUUUUAAUUAAUGUUCCAUUUUUGUUAUGUGAUAAGAGCUGUUAGUGAAAGGAGUGUAGUGGGGUUUUUUUUGCUGGUAGUUGGUUGGCUGGUGGAGCCUUUCUGAAUUUUUUGGAUGGUAUUCUUGGUUAUUCAAUGCUGUUUGUUUUGGCAUUUUAUUUUUAGGAAUUGGAUUAGAACUGCAAAGUUCUAACUGUAACUCUAAUGAAACAAAACAAAUGCAUAAAUAUGAAAAUGGGAAUAUAAAACUUCAAUUUUAAAUAUAAACGGAAAGCAUAUAAAUAAAACAUGUAACAUAAAUAAUGUUAUCCUUUACUAUUAGAUAGUAUAUUGUUUGAUAUAUAGUAUUUUGUUUAUAUAAAUACAUAUAAAUAUAGAUUAUAAAUAUGAAUAAAAUCCAUAUAAAACCUCCAUAUUGAGAUGUAUAAUUAAUACAUGUGGAUAUAUAAAUAUAAAAAUUACUAAAUAAUAGAAAUCAAUACAGUACAUAAUGCAUAUUUUACUGUGUAUGUCCUAUUUUAACACAUUCUAUGUCCUAAAUAUUAUAUAUCGAAAUACGGUACCUCAAUAUAUUGUAAUCAAAUAUAUAACAACUUGUAAAAAUCAAAAAUAGAAAGGUAGAAAUAUUUAAAUAUAGUUUAAAAUAAAGGGGAUUUUUAUUUUGUAUUUGGUAGUAGGUAGGGUUUUUUUAAUAAAAUCUAUAAAUAUAAAUAAAAUAAAAUUAGAAAUCUGUGUAUAGAAAUACAUCCUAAAUACCUUAAGAUCUAUAUAAAAAAUUCAAAGGUAAGUAAAAAUAAAUAUUAGCAGUAUCUAUGAAGUAUAAUAUAAAUAAUAAUUUGUCUAUCUUGCUACCUUAAUAUAUAUAUGAUACAUAUUUAUAAACACAUCACUAUAAAGUAGAAAUGCAAAUGUGACUAUAAUGAUGAAAAAAACAUGUAAAUAUUCAAGUAUCGUUUAAAGAAAGGGCUUUUUUUGGUUUUUAUUUGGUUAGAGGCAGGGUUUUAAUGGAAGAAAAAUGAAUAUACCUUUUGAUAUCAUUCUAAGUAUAGAAAUAUAUAUUCAAUGUAUACAGAGAUAUAUAAAAAUAUAAAAUAGAAAUGAAAAUAAGUAUUCGGAAUAGAUAGAAUAUAAAUAACACCAUACAUCAAUCUACAUUUUAAAUGUAAAUUUGAAUAUAAAUGCGAAAAAUAGAGAUAAAUUUAAAUGCAGUUUGAAAGAUAAGGGGUUUUUAAAAGAUUUUUACUUGGAUAGAGGCAGGGGUUUAUUUUAAGCAAUAUAAAACUUUUAGAAAUAGAAUAAUGUAAGAAUAGAAAUAUGUAAGUAAUGUAUUAAGCAAUGUAAAAAAAUGUAAAUUGUAAUAAAAUAUAAUAGGAAUAAAUGUAAGAAAUUAUUAAAAUUGCAAUUAUACAUCAAUAUGCAUUAUAAAUCUGAAUGUGAAUAUAAAUAUGUAAAAUAUAAAAAUAAAAUAUAUUGAGAUGCA